rnacentral:SRP_RNA from 1 species
GGGCUGGGUAGGGUGGGGAGUCUCGCCAGCUCCCUUAACCCGCGUGGCGUAAUGCGGGCACCAGUAACUCCCAUAUUGAGAUACCUACCCUCUCGGAUCCUAGCCUAACGAUGAGUGCUGCCCGGCGGGGCGAGGUAGUUACGGGUUCCCCCUCUGGAGGGAGGGGGAAUACCGUAUCGACUGGGGGAAUCGGCCAGGCCCGGAAGGGAGCAACCGUGCCCGGCUACCCGCGUUCGCCGGUCUACGGCAUGAGGAGGGCUAGGGGUAAAUCCGAGAGGGCAAGGGUCUCAGUAUGGGGGGUCUGGCCC